CUGGCGGCAGGCCUAACACAUGCAAGUCGAGCGCACUCUUCGGAGUGAGCGGCGGACGGGUUAGUAACGCGUGGGAACAUACCCUUUUCUACGGAAUAGCCUCGGGAAACUGAGAGUAAUACCGUAUACGCCCUUUUGGGGAAAGAUUUAUCGGUGAAGGAUUGGCCCGCGUUUGAUUAGAUAGUUGGUGGGGUAAUGGCCUACCAAGUCUACGAUCAAUAGCUGGUUUGAGAGGAUGAUCAGCAACACUGGGACUGAGACACGGCCCAGACUCCUACGGGAGGCAGCAGUGGGGAAUCUUAGACAAUGGGCGCAAGCCUGAUCUAGCCAUGCCGCGUGAGUGACGAAGGCCUUAGGGUCGUAAAGCUCUUUCGCCAGGGAUGAUAAUGACAGUACCUGGUAAAGAAACCCCGGCUAACUCCGUGCCAGCAGCCGCGGUAAUACGGAGGGGGUUAGCGUUGUUCGGAAUUACUGGGCGUAAGGCGUACGUAGGCGGAUUGGAAAGUAUGGGGUGAAAUCCCAGGGCUCAACCCUGGAACUGCCCUGUAAACUAUCAGUCUAGAGUUCGAGAGAGGUGAGUGGAAUUCCAAGUGUAGGGGUGAAAUUCGUAGAUAUUUGGAGGAACACCAGUGGCGAAGGCGGCUCACUGGCUCGAUACUGACGCUGAGGUACGAAAGUGUGGGGAGCAAACAGGAUUAGAUACCCUGGUAGUCCACACCGUAAACGAUGAAUGCCAGACGUCGGGGGGCUUGCCCUUCGGUGUCACACCUAACGGAU
rnacentral:rRNA from 1 species